CAGCGGCGAACGGGUGAGUAACACGUUGGAAUCUGCCCCAGACUCAGGGAUAGCCCGCCUAACGGCGGAUUAAUACCGGAUGGUCCCGCAAGGGUAAAGCUUUUGCGGUCUGGGAGGAUCCUGCGGCCUAUCAGCUUGUUGGUGAGGUAAUAGCUCACCAAGGCUAUGACGGGUAGCUGGUCUGAGAGGAUGACCAGUCACAAUGGGACUGAGACACGGCCCAUACUCC
rnacentral:rRNA from 1 species